rnacentral:rRNA from 1 species
GAGGAAGUAAAAGUCGUAACAAGGUUUCCGUAGGUGAACCUGCGGAAGGAUCAUUACUGAAGCAUCGUAAUAAGUUGUUGCUGGUCUUUCAAAGGACAAUCGUGCACGCUUGUUAUUCUUCAUUUCUCCAUCAUUUGUGCAUCACUUGUGUGGAUAUUUCGUGUCUGGGGCUCRUCCUCAGACGAUUAGGACUGCUUUGCAAAGUUACUAUUUGUGGGGCUUUCCUUGGAUCCGCAUGUUUUAUAUACACACCAAUAUAUAUCAGAAGGAAUUUUUUUUGAAAUUGUUAUACAACUUUCAGCAACGGAUCUCUUGGCUCUCGCAUCGAUGAAGAACGCAGCGAAAUGCGAUAAGUAAUGUGAAUUGCAGAAUUCAGUGAAUCAUCGAAUCUUUGAACGCAUCUUGCGCUCCUUGGUAUUCCGAGGAGCAUGCCUGUUUGAGUGUCAUUAAUAUCUCAACCACAUCCAUUUUAUUUUGGCAUAUGUGGCUUGGACUUGGAGGAAUGUGCAGGCUCUGACUCUUUGYAGUUCUGCUCCUCUGAAAAAUAUGAGCGGUACCCAUAUUGGAACUCUGGCUAGGUGUGAUACACAAUCUGCAUCUAAUCCAAGGUUACCUGUCGGUUAUGCUGCUGAUUAAAUUAUGACUCGAUAAACUUGACCUCAAAUCAGGG